UGGGGAAUUUUGGACAAUGGGCGAAAGCCUGAUCCAGCAAUGCCGCGUGUGUGAAGAAGGCCUUCGGGUUGUAAAGCACUUUUGUCCGGAAAGAAAAUCCUUGGCUCUAAUACAGUCGGGGGAUGACGUACCGGAAGAAUAAGCACCGGCUAACUACGUGCCAGCAGCCGCGGUAAUACGUAGGGUGCAAGCGUUAAUCGGAAUUACUGGGCGUAAAGCGUGCGCAGGCGGUUUGCUAAGACCGAUGUGAAAUCCCCGGGCUCAACCUGGGAACUGCAUUGGUGACUGGCAGGCUAGAGUAUGGCAGAGGGGGGUAGAAUUCCACGUGUAGCAGUGAAAUGCGUAGAGAUGUGGAGGAAUACCGAUGGCGAAGGCAGCCCCCUGGGCCAAUACUGACGCUCAUGCACGAAAAGCGUGGGGAGCAAACAGGAUUAGAUACCCUGGUAGUCCACGCCCUAAACGAUGUCAACUAGUUGUUGGGGAUUCAUUUCCUUAGUAACGUAGCUAACGCGUGAAGUUGACCGCCUGGGGAGUACGGUCGCAAGAUU
rnacentral:rRNA from 1 species